rnacentral:rRNA from 1 species
GUGAGUAACACGUGGGUAACCUGCCUUAAAGUGGGGGAUAACACUUGGAAACAGGUGCUAAUACCGCAUAACCAUCAAAACCGCCUGGUUUUGAUGUUAAAGAUGGUUCUGCUAUCGCUUUAAGAUGGACCCGCGGCGUAUUAGCUAGUUGGUGAGGUAACGGCUUACCAAGGCAAUGAUACGUAGCCGAACUGAGAGGUUGAUCGGCCACAUUGGGACUGAGACACGGCCCAAACUCCUACGGGAGGCAGCAGUAGGGAAUCUUCCACAAUGGACGAAAGUCUGAUGGAGCAACGCCGCGUGAGUGAAGAAGGUUUUCGGAUCGUAAAACUCUGUUGUCAGAGAAGAACGUGUGUGAGAGUAACUGUUCACGCAGUGACGGUAUCUGACCAGAAAGUCACGGCUAACUACGUGCCAGCAGCCGCGGUAAUACGUAGGUGGCAAGCGUUGUCCGGAUUUAUUGGGCGUAAAGGGAACGCAGGCGGUCUUUUAAGUCUGAUGUGAAAGCCUUCGGCUUAACCGAAGUCGGGCAUUGGAAACUGGGAGACUUGAGUGCAGAAGAGGAGAGUGGAACUCCAUGUGUAGCGGUGAAAUGCGUAGAUAUAUGGAAGAACACCAGUGGCGAAAGCGGCUCUCUGGUCUGUAACUGACGCUGAGGUUCGAAAGCGUGGGUAGCAAACAGGAUUAGAUACCCUGGUAGUCCACGCCGUAAACGAUGAAUGCUAAGUGUUGGAGGGUUUC